AGCAGCAUUUCUUAGUGGAUAGAGCAUGGAUCUGGAAAUCAGAAGGACCUGGGUUCUAAUCCCAGCGCUGCUU
rnacentral:tRNA from 1 species